GACGAACGCUGGCGGCGUGCCUAAUACAUGCAAGUAGAACGCACAGUUUAUACCGUAGCUUGCUACACCAUAGACUGUGAGUUGCGAACGGGUGAGUAACGCGUAGGUAACCUGCCUGGUAGCGGGGGAUAACUAUUGGAAACGAUAGCUAAUACCGCAUAAUAUUGAUUAUUGCAUGAUAAUUGAUUGAAAGAUGCUAUUGCAUCACUACCAGAUGGACCUGCGUUGUAUUAGCUAGUAGGUGAGGUAACGGCUCACCUAGGCGACGAUACAUAGCCGACCUGAGAGGGUGAUCGGCCACACUGGGACUGAGACACGGCCCAGACUCCUACGGGAGGCAGCAGUAGGGAAUCUUCGGCAAUGGACGAAAGUCUGACCGAGCAACGCCGCGUGAGUGAAGAAGGUUUUCGGAUCGUAAAGCUCUGUUGUAAGAGAAGAACGGGUGUGAGAGUGGAAAGUUCACACUGUGACGGUAGCUUACCAGAAAGGGACGGCUAACUACGUG
rnacentral:rRNA from 1 species